rnacentral:misc_RNA from 1 species
GAUGAAGAACGCAGUGAAAUGCGAUACGUAAUGUGAAUUGCAGAAUUCAGUGAAUCAUCGAAUCUUUGAACGCAUAUUGCGCUCUUUGGUAUUCCGAAGAGCAUGCUUGUUUGAGUAUCAGUAAACACCUCAAAGCUUUUGGAUUUUUUAAUUGAAAAGCUUUGGACUUGAGCAAUCCCAACACCAAUCUUUUUGAGAUCGGUGGCGGGUUGCUUGAAAUGCAGGUGCAGCUGGACAUUCUCCUGAGCUAAAAGCAUAUUCAUUUAGUCCCGUCAAACGGAUUAUUACUUUUGCUGCAGCUAACAUAAAGGGAGUUUGACCGUAUUGGCUGACUGAUGCAGGAUUUCACAAGGGUCGGCAACGAUUCUUGUUAAACUCGAUCUCAAAUCAAGUAAGACUACCCGCUGAACUUAAGCAUAUCAAUAAGCGGAGGA